rnacentral:rRNA from 1 species
AACGAACGCUGGCGGCAUGCCUAACACAUGCAAGUCGAACGAAGGCUUCGGCCUUAGUGGCGCACGGGUGCGUAACGCGUGGGAAUCUGCCCUUAGGUUCGGAAUAACAGUUAGAAAUGACUGCUAAUACCGGAUGAUGACGUAAGUCCAAAGAUUUAUCGCCUGAGGAUGAGCCCGCGUAGGAUUAGCUAGUUGGUGUGGUAAAGGCGCACCAAGGCGACGAUCCUUAGCUGGUCUGAGAGGAUGAUCAGCCACACUGGGACUGAGACACGGCCCAGACUCCUACGGAAGGCAGAAGGGGGGAAUAUUGGACAAGGGGCGAAAGCCUGAACCAGCAAGGCCGGGUGAGUGAUGAAGGCCUUAGGGUUGUAAAGCUCUUUUACCCGGGAUGAUAAUGACAGUAGGGGGAAAAAAAGCCCCGGCUAACUCCGG